rnacentral:rRNA from 1 species
GACGAACGCUGGCGGCGUGCUUAACACAUGCAAGUCGAACGGAAAGGCCCUGCUUUUGUGGGGUGCUCGAGUGGCGAACGGGUGAGUAACACGUGAGUAACCUGCCCUUGACUUUGGGAUAACUUCAGGAAACUGGGGCUAAUACCGGAUAGGAGCUCCUGCUGCAUGGUGGGGGUUGGAAAGUUUCGGCGGUUGGGGAUGGACUCGCGGCUUAUCAGCUUGUUGGUGGGGUAGUGGCUUACCAAGGCUUUGACGGGUAGCCGACCUGAGAGGGUGACCGGCCACAUUGGGACUGAGAUACGGCCCAGACUCCUACGGGAGGCAGCAGUGGGGAAUAUUGCACAAUGGGCGGAAGCCUGAUGCAGCAACGCCGCGUGCGGGAUGACGGCCUUCGGGUUGUAAACCGCUUUCGCCUGUGACGAAGCGUGAGUGACGGUAACGGGUAAAGAAGCACCGGCUAACUACGUG